ensembl:lncRNA
GCCAGGUUCAAGAGCAGUUGACUGCUCGAGCAAUACACUGCUCCUGAACCAGGCGCACGAGCCUCCCCAGGGAAGAUGCUCAUCUUCCGUUGAUGUAGUUGGCAACUACGGUCAUACUGACAUUUACAGCAAUAAGCUAAUAAUUAUUUCAUAUUAUAUACAACUCUUGACCAUUCAAAGCUCACGGCAGAAAAGAUGGCACAGGUGUGGAAGGUCGUCGAAUUCAAAGAUAGGAGCACUACCAUAGUGCCAAGCAGCUGGUUGGAGGAGGCAGGGGAGUCAUGGAAUUGUUUCUGGCCUCCUAGUUCUUAUGAUCAUAUCCGCCUCCAGAAGGCAGUCGCGCACCACCUUCCUCCAGGUGCAGCGUGGGACGUGCACGGUGACGUGAGGGUCUUGGUUAGCUGUGGCCAAACUCACGCUACCUGCAGGAGCCAGCUGGAAGAGUCCAGACCACUAGGGGCCCGCCGCAACACUUUUUUGAAGGUG